rnacentral:lncRNA from 1 species
GUCUCUUUCAAUUUUGCAACCCAUGUAAAAAUUCCUCAUCAUAAAACUCCUCAAUCUCUGUCCCAAAUCAAAACCUUGGGUUGGGGCCACGUGAGCGGUACCAUAUCGAGCACUUCCCCUAUUCCUUCUCUUUUUCACCAAACCCUCAAAACCAUCCCGCCAACAACAACAAAUACAAUCUCCAGCCACUAAACCCUUCUGUUUUUUCUCCAUGGAAUAACCAAAACUCUUCUUCUAAAACUUCCUCCUAUGAUGAAAUUAAGAAAAACUUAUACGAAUUACGUCGUUGUAGUUCCACUUCUUCUCCAUCACCCCUUUCAUUUUAAGAACUCUA